AUUGAACGCUGGCGGCAUGCUCUACACAUGCAAGUCGAACGGUAACAGGCCGCAAGGUGCUGACGAGUGGCGAACGGGUGAGUAAUGCAUCGGAACGUGCCCAGUCGUGGGGGUUAACUACUCGAAAGAGUAGCUAAUACCGCAUACGAUCUAUGGAUGAAAGCGGGGGACCGUAAGGCCUCGCGCGAUUGGAGCGGCCGAUGUCAGAUUAGGUAGUUGGUGGGGUAAAGGCUCACCAAGCCAACGAUCUGUAGCUGGUCUGAGAGGACGACCAGCCACACUGGGACUGAGACACGGCCCAGACUCCUACGGGAGGCAGCAGUGGGGAAUUUUGGACAAUGGGCGCAAGCCUGAUCCAGCAAUGCCGCGUGCAGGAAGAAGGCCUUCGGGUUGUAAACUGCUUUUGUACGGAACGAAACGGCUCUGGUUAAUACCCGGGGCUAAUGACGGUACCGUAAGAAUAAGCACCGGCUAACUACGUG
rnacentral:rRNA from 1 species